UACGGAGGAUGCGAGCGUUAUCCGGAUUUAUUGGGUUUAAAGGGUGCGCAGGCGGAUUUUUAAGUCAGCGGUCAAAUCGUGGGGCUCAACCCCAUCCAGCCGUUGAAACUGGGGAUCUAGAGUGUGCGAGGGGUAUGCGGAAUGCGUGGUGUAGCGGUGAAAUGCAUAGAUAUCACGCAGAACCCCGAUUGCGAAGGCAGCAUACCGGUGCACAACUGACGCUCAGGCACGAAAGCGUGGGUAUCGAACAGG
rnacentral:rRNA from 1 species